GAUGAACGCUGGCGGCGUGCCUAAUACAUGCAAGUCGAGCGAACAGAUGAGGAUCUUGCUCCUCUGACGUUAGCGGCGGACGGGUGAGUAACACGUGGAUAACCUACCUAUAAGACUGGGAUAACUUCGGGAAACCGGAUCUAAUACCGGAUAAUAUAUUGAACCGCAUGGUUCAAUAGUGAAAGACGGUUUUGCUGUCACUUAUAGAUGGUUCCGCGCCGCAUUAGCUAGUUGUUAAGGUAACGGCUUACCAAGGCAACGAUGCGUAGCCGACCUGAGAGGACGAUCGGCCACACUGGAACUGAGACACGGUCCAGACUCCUACGGGAGGCAGCAGUAGGGAAUCUUCCGCAAUGGGCGAAAGCCUGACGGAGCAACGCCGCGUGAGUGAUGAAGGUCUUCGGAUCGUAAAACUCUGUUAUUAGGGAAGAACAAAUGUGUAAGUAACUAUGCACGUCUUGACGGUACCUAAUCAGAAAGCCACGGCUAACUACGUG
rnacentral:rRNA from 1 species